rnacentral:rRNA from 1 species
UCCUACGGGGGGCAGCAGUGGGGAAUAUUGCACAAUGGAGGAAACUCUGAUGCAGCGAUGCCGCGUGAGGGAAGAAGGUUUUCGGAUUGUAAACCUCUGUCUUAAGGGACGAUAAUGACGGUACCUUAGGAGGAAGCUCCGGCUAACUACGUGCCAGCAGCCGCGGUAAUACGUAGGGAGCGAGCGUUGUCCGGAAUUACUGGGUGUAAAGGGAGUGUAGGCGGGAUGGUAAGUUAGGUGUGAAAUGCGGAGGCUCAACCUCCGAGCUGCACUUAAAACUGCUGUUCUUGAGUGAAGUAGAGGUU